rnacentral:rRNA from 1 species
CGGCUGCCUAUCAUGCAGUCGAGCGCGAGGUAAGCAGGUAGAUCCUCUUCGGAGGUGACGCCUGUGGAACGAGUUGCUGACGGUUGAGUAACACGUGGGCAACCUGCCUAGUAAGAGUGGGAUAACCCCGGGAAGCCGGGGCUAUAACGGAUAAUACUUUUCGUUGCAUAACGAGAAGUUGAAAGGCGGCUUUUAGCUGUCACUUACAGAUGGGCCCGCGGCGCAUUAGCUAGUUGGUAAGGUAACGGCUUACCAAGGCGACGAUGCGUAGCCGACCUGAGAGGGUGAUCGGCCACACUGGGACUGAGACACGGCCCAGACUCCUAGGGAGGCAGCAGUAGGGAAUCUUCCGCAAUGGACGAAAGUCUGACGGAGCAACGCCGCGUGAGUGAUGAAGGUUUUCGGAUCGUAAAACCUGUAUGUCAGGGAAGAACAAGUGCCGUUCGAAUAGAGGCGGCGCCUUGACGGUGCCUGCCAGAAAGCCCCGACAAACUACGUGCCACAGCCGCGGUCAAUACGUAAGAGGCAAGCGUUGUCCGGAAUUAUUGGGCGUAAAGCGUCGCAAGCGGUCCUUUAAGUCUGUGUGAUAAGCCCACGGCUUAUCCGUGGAGGGCCAUUGGAAACUGGAGAACUUGAGUACAGAAGAUGAGAGUGGAAUUCCACGUAUAGCGGUGAGAUGCGUAGAGCUGUGGAGGAACACCAGUGGCGAAGGCGACUCUCUGGUCUGUGACUGACGCUGAGGUGCGAAGCGUGGGAGCGCACAGGAUUAGAUACCCUGGUAGUCCACGCGUAACCGAUGAGUGCUAUGCAG